rnacentral:rRNA from 1 species
UUCCUACGGGGCGCAGCAGUGAGGAAUAUUGGUCAAUGGGAGAGAUCCUGAACCAGCCAAGCCGCGUGAGGGAAGACGGCCCUAUGGGUUGUAAACCUCUUUUGUCGGAGAACAAAACCCGGGACGUGUCCCGGACUGCGUGUAUCCGAAGAAAAAGCAUCGGCUAACUCCGUGCCAGCAGCCGCGGUAAUACGGAGGAUGCGAGCGUUAUCCGGAUUUAUUGGGUUUAAAGGGUGCGUAGGCGGGUUAUCAAGUCAGCGGUAAAAUCGUGGAGCUCAACUCCAUCCAGCCGUUGAAACUGAUGA